rnacentral:misc_RNA from 1 species
GACAAAGCCAAUCCAUUCAGUGUGUACCCCAAGAAAAACCACUAAUCCGAUGCUUUUGCGAUCCAGACCCAACCAACCCGCCCUCUUCACUCUCUAUAUAUCCCUUCUAAAACAACCUCCUUUUUUUCCAUAGUCUUCUCUUCAUUUCACCUAAAAACUGCCCUUGAUCUUAACUUGUUUCUCGUUAGAUUGUUGUGGCGUUGAGAUAUGGCUACAAAGAAGA